AGAUUUAAAUAGCUCAUAAAGAAAUAAGCAAUAAUUUAAGGAUGAGAAACAGAGCAUGAAUCUGAAGAAGUCAUACAAACGUGAGAAAGAAGUUGAGAAAGAGAUUUUCCUGCGUAAGAAAAUGCUGUGUUUGAAAAGCAUGUGGAAAGGUCAGUCUGAAUAUAAAUAGAAACUGGCAAGAUGGAGUUCAAAGAUCUUUCCUGAUUACGAACCCAGUCUGCUAAUGUGAAGAAGCCUGGACAAAUUUAGAGAACUGCCCCACUGAAACUAACUGUGGUGAUCAUCAAGAAAUGAAGAUUGAACCCCAAAAAGAUACUACAGAAUUCAUCUUUGUGAAUUUGGGGCUCUAGUGGAUAACUAAUGGUCCCUGAUUGAGAUUCAAGGACAAUUGAAUGAAUAUCGCAGACCUCUUGGCUCACUUAAGAGUUCAUAAACAAAUACGCAAAUUGGAGAGCGGUAGCAUUUUGAUAAAUAUUAUCCAGCUUUUUUAUAAGAUGUUAAGAGUCUCCAAAAAUAAAAAGCAGCAA
rnacentral:lncRNA from 1 species